rfam:[Haemophilus] felis strain CCTG 31170 31170T_ctg_0000001, whole genome shotgun sequence.
UGUCAUCGCUGAAUUAGAGAUCGGCGAUUGAUGUAUAUCAACAUAACUAGUUAGGAGUUAUCAAAUGUCUCUAAGUACAGAAAAAAAAGCGGCAAUCGUUGCAGAAUUUGGUCGUGAUGCA